rnacentral:rRNA from 1 species
AACAGGAUUAGAUACCCUGGUAGUCUAUGCUGUAAACGGUGGGCGCUAGGUGUGAGUCCCUUCCACGGGGUUUGUGCCGUAGCUAACGCUUUAAGCGCCCCGCCUGGGGAGUACGGCCGCAAGGCUAAAACUCAAAGGAAUUGACGGGGGCCCGCACAAGCGGCGGAGCAUGUGGAUUAAUUCGAUGCAACGCGAAGAACCUUACCUGGGCUUGACAUAUGUGAGAUUGGGCUAGAGAUAGUUCGUCCCUUGUGGCUCAUUUACAGGUGGUGCAUGGUUGUCGUCAGCUCGUGUCGUGAGAUGUUGGGUUAAGUCCCGCAACGAGCGCAACCCUUGUCUUAUGUUGCCAGCACGUUGUGGUGGGGACUCGUGAGAGACUGCCGGGGUUAACUCGGAGGAAGGUGGGGAUGACGUCAAAUCAUCAUGCCCCUUAUGUCCAGGGCUUCACACAUGCUACAAUGGCUGGUACAGUGCGUGUGCGACACCGUGAGGUGGAGCUAAUCGCGAAAGCCAGUCUCAGUUCGGAUUGGGGUCUGCAACUCGACCCCAUGAAGUCGGAGUCGCUAGUAAUCGCAGAUCAGCAGUGCUGCGGUGAAUACGUUCCCGGGCCUUGUACACACCGCCCGUCACGUCAUGAAAGUUGGUAACACCCGAAGCCCAUGGCCCAACCGGUUUUCCGGGGGGAGUGGUCGAAGGUGGGAUUGGCGAUUGGGACGAAGUCGUAACAAGGUAACC